rnacentral:lncRNA from 1 species
UAUAACGUGUCAAUAAUCAAUAGGUGUGAACUGUUGGCUGAUAGUUGCUUCUGGAUGAGUCAAGUUUCUUCUUAAAAAUAGACUAUUUCUAAGAAUUUUUUUAACCCUCUUGUCCGUUACAGGCCUCACCUCACUGGCUAUGAGAAUUGAGAAAAGUCAGGAAGGGAGGUACAGGCAAAUAAAAUAAUCUUGGCCGUUGGAUGUUACUUGACCAUGUAAAAAGCCUUUGGGUUCCACCAAAAUUAGUUGUAAAUUGAAUAAAGCAAACCGCAGCCUUAGCCUCUUAUCACCAUUAAAUUAAACUUUCCUACUUUUGCCUCCUUUUUUUUUUAAAUUUUUUUAUAAAAGCAUUUGAUUUAUUUAUAUAUAUUGUUAAAAUUAUUUAUUUAUUUUUUGAGUAUACAUGUUAGUUUCUUCACCUGUCGCAUCAUUUAAUUGUUUCUUGUUAAAUCUCAUCUUUAGUUCAUUUCCCAUUUGUGGUGUUGCUUUCAAUUUCUUGAAAUUUCCAAUAACGUAGAGAAGCUCCAGCAUAUUUUAGUUAACCUGAAUUCAUCACUCAUCAAUGCUGACCAUUUUGAAACUAAUGCUGACGGGCGUUAAAAUUGAAAGUUGCUGCAAAGAACAUGUAAUGCAGGAUCCAAUUUAUGUUUUUAAUACAGAAGGUUGGAGUAGGAAAUGGCCAUAUAAUAAAUGUAGGUCAUUGUGUUGUGAUUUCGACUAAAAAUGUUAGUCAAAUUGGAUAUGCGUCGCUGAGUUUUUAAAUUUUCGGCCUUAAAAAAUUAUUGAAACGAACAAGUAGGAUGACACUGUCGGUUGAAACUCUAUAUCGGACCUUCCUCAUAAUCAAAUUGGGACUGCGUUACUGAUCUGUGGUCGUAAUUUUUCGACAUAUUAAAAAAAUCAUUGAAAUGGAUAAGUGGAAUGACACGGUCGGUUGAAACUCUUUAUAUUUAAUAUGAGGGUUAAAUAAUCUGUUGCACAAUUUUGCACUGAAAAGUUUAGUUAUUACUUACAAUAAGUGUAAAUCCCACAUACAAUGUUUGAAUGGAAGCAGUCCGUGUAUCUGUGAUUCAUCUCAUUGGCUUUCUUGUGUGGCCUGCAUCCCCUCGAUUAUAUAUUAUUAAGAAAUCUGCAACUAUAGGUGAAUUUUUUUUUUUCUUUUUAUGUGAGAACAAUAUUAAAUUUCUUGAGAGUACGAAUUCUCUAAUUCUAAUGGGUUGGUGGUGGCGGCCCUACAUUUCUGAGAAGCUAAUGUGGGACAGGUAGGGCUCUCCUCCCUAAAUAAAUGGUUCGAUAUUUCCUUUGAAGGCAUGAUGCCACUGCUUUGGGUUGUUCACUAGGUUAUAUAUAUAUAUAUAUCGUACACAAAUAAUCAAAAAAGAAAAUAAAGGAGCGUGUAUGUAGAAUUUUGGAGAAGAGAGACGGGCGGUGGAAUUUGAGUUGUUUGUUUCUUAGGAGAAAACUGCAAGUAAAAUAAUUGGAGGGGACCAGGCUUAGACUCAGGCAGGCUCAGGCAUGGGUCCUCCUCCUCAGCCAGUCAGCCUCAACGUGAAGUUGAUGAAACAUAAGCCUCCGUUGUGAAAUUGUGAUGCAUGCAGGCAACGCACGUUGUGCACGUACGCUGUUAAAUACGUGUGGUCCAGUUGAUUGUGAUCGUGACAUCUAUCAAUCAUCUAUUAUUGUAUAAAGAAAGAGAUUAAAGCAAAAUUCCAUGAACACGCUUAUAACUGAGCAUCCAACUCAAAACGUGCUAGCUAGGCCUAAGCCUAGGCGUAGGCGUGUUCCCUUUAAUCUCCUCUUUUUUUUUUUUCCAUUCCAGGU